CCCUUAGAUGUUCUGGGCUGCACGCGCGCUACACUGACGCACGCAACAGGUGCCUGCUCCGAGAGGACUGGGUAAUCAUUUGAGUGUGCGUCGUGAUGGGGAUAGAAUAUUGUAAUUAUUACUCUUCAACGAGGAAUUCCUAGUAAGCGCAAGUCAGCAGCUUGCGCUGAUUACGUCCCUGCCCUUUGUACACACCGCCCGUCGCACCUACCGAUUGGAUGGUCCGGUGAAGCCUCGGGAUUGUGGUUCUUGCCGCUUUAUUGUGGCGUGACCGCGAGAACUUGUCUAAACCUUAUCAUCUAGAGGAAGGUGAAGUCGUAACA
rnacentral:rRNA from 1 species